rnacentral:rRNA from 1 species
UACAGAGGGGGCAAGCGUUAUUCGGAAUUAUUGGGCGUAAAGGGCGCGUAGGCGGCCUGGCAAGUGGAAGGUGAAAGCCCCGGGCUUAACUUGGGAAUUGCGCUCGAAACUACGUGGCUGGAGUGUGGCAGAGGAAGGUGGAAUUCCAGGUGUAGCGGUGAAAUGCGUAGAGAUCUGGAGGAACACCGAUGGCGAAGGCAGCCUUCUGGGCCAACACUGACGCUCAUGCACGAAAGCGUGGGGAGCAAACAGG